rfam:Fukomys damarensis contig103632, whole genome shotgun sequence.
GCCCCAGUGGCCUAAUGGAUAAGGCAUUGGCCUCCUGAGCGGGGGAUGGUAGGUUCGAGUCCCAGCUGGGGUG